UGUUUGCCCUUCUUGUGGUGAGUGCAAGUACGACCCUGGAAAGGUGGAGUCUAGAGCUGCUUUUAGGAGAGUGGUAGGUGGUUCACAUCUCCCACAUUAUCACAGUGAGGCAGAGUUACAGGGUAGCCAGAAGCUGGAUUUCAGUGAUAUAGACCCAGCUCUAAAGUGGAGGUAAAACCUGGUAAAGGAGGUACUUUGGAUAACUGUUUGACAUGUUCUCCUCAAUAUCUUGAUUACCUGGGGGAAUUACGCUAUUGGUAUUUUUGUG
ensembl:misc_RNA